AACGAACGCUGGCGGCAUGCCUAACACAUGCAAGUCGAACGAAGCCUUCGGGCUUAGUGGCGCACGGGUGCGUAACGCGUGGGGAUCUGCCCCUUGCUUCGGAAUAACAGUUAGAAAUGACUGCUAAUACCGGAUGAAGUCUUCGGACCAAAGAUUUAUCGGCAAGGGAUGAGCCCGCGUAGGAUUAGGUAGUUGGUGGGGUAAAGGCCUACCAAGCCGACGAUCCUUAGCUGGUCUGAGAGGAUGAUCAGCCACACUGGGACUGAGACACGGCCCAGACUCCUACGGGAGGCAGCAGUGGGGAAUAUUGGACAAUGGACGCAAGUCUGAUCCAGCAAUGCCGCGUGAGUGAUGAAGGCCUUAGGGUUGUAAAGCUCUUUUACCAGGGAUGAUAAUGACAGUACCUGGAGAAUAAGCUCCGGCUAACUCCGUG
rnacentral:rRNA from 1 species